rnacentral:rRNA from 1 species
GGGGAAUAUUGGACAAUGGGCGAAAGCCUGAUCCAGCCAUGCCGCGUGUGUGAAGAAGGUCUUCGGAUUGUAAAGCACUUUAAGUUGGGAGGAAGGGCAGUAAGUUAAUACCUUGCUGUUUUGACGUUACCAACAGAAUAAGCACCGGCUAACUUCGUGCCAGCAGCCGCGGUAAUACGAAGGGUGCAAGCGUUAAUCGGAAUUACUGGGCGUAAAGCGCGCGUAGGUGGUUCAGCAAGUUGGAUGUGAAAUCCCCGGGCUCAACCUGGGAAACUGAUCCCAAAAUGGGGAGCUUGAGGAACGGAGAGGGGUGGUGAAUUUCCCGUGUAGGCGUUAAAUUGGGAGAUAAUAGGAGGAACCACCAUGGCGGAGGCGGCCAACUGGACUGAUACUGACACUGAGGUGCGAAAGCGUGGGGAGCAAACA